UACCAGAGCUAAGUUUCUCAAGGUAUAGCAAGUACAAGAGAACUAAUUCCUCUCCUCAUACUGCAAUUCUAUUUUCUGAUCUAUUCUCUUCGGUUUCUUUCAUUUACUCAAUCACCAUGUCGACCUGUGACAACUGUGACUGUGCUGACAAGAGCCAGUGUGUGAAGAAGGGAAACAGCUAUGGCAUCGAAAUCGUCGAGACCCAGAAGAGCUACUACGAAGAUGCUGUGAUUGAGGUCGCGGCAGCGGAGAACGACGGUAAGUGCAAGUGCGGAGAUAGCUGUGCUUGCACUGACUGCACUUGUGGGCAUUAAAGAUUAAUAAACAGUGACAGUAGUUUGGGAGAACAUAAGAAUGUAAUAGGUGUGGUAUCAGAAUAAGCUGUGUCGUCCUUCUUCUUCUUCUUCUUCUUCUUCUUCUUCUUCUUAUCUGUUUGUGUGCUAAUGUUUGGGUGGCAGCCAUGGCUGAACUUCAUACAUAGUAACCGUGUAACGUAUUUAUCUUUGUUGUUCUUUGUUUCUCUUGUUUAAUGGUAAUUGGGUAUUGUUAUUAGUA